AAUCAACGCUGGCGGCGUGCCUCAGACAUGCAAGUCGAACGCGAAAGUCCCCUUCGGGGGACAAGUAGAGUGGCGCACGGGUGAGUAACACGUAGGUAAUCUACCUUCGGAUGGGGAAUAACAACCGGAAACGGUUGCUAAUACCGCAUAAUGCAGCGGCACCUAAUGGUGACAGUUGUUAAAGCGGGGGAUCGUUAAGACCUCGCGUCUGAAGAGGAGCCUGCGGCGGAUUAGCUAGNGGUAGGGUAACGGCCUACCAAGCGACGAUCCGUAGCCGGCCUGAGAGGGCGGUCGGCCACACUGACACUGACAUACGGGUCAGACUCCUACGGGAGGCAGCAGUCGGGAAUUUUGGGCAAUGGGCGAAAGCCUGACCCAGCAACGCCGCGUGAAGGAUGAAAUCCCUCCGGGAUGUAAACUUCGCAAGGACGGGAAGAAUAGCGAGAGUAAAUACCUUUCGCGAUGACGGUACCGUUUGUAAGCUCCGGCUAACUCCGUG
rnacentral:rRNA from 1 species